AUUGAACGCUGGCGGCAUGCCUAACACAUGCAAGUCGAACGAGUGGCGGACGGGUGAGUAAUGUCUGGGAACCUGCCCGAUGGAGGGGGAUAACUACUGGAAACGGUAGCUAAUACCGCAUACCAUCGGCUUUGCCCAGAUGGGGUUAGCUUGUGGGUGAGGAAACGGCUCACCUAGGCGACGAUCCAUAGCUGGUCUGAGGGGUUGACCAGCCACACUGGAACUGAGACACGGUCCAGACUCCUACGGGAGGCAGCAGUGGGGAAUAUUGCACAAUGGGCGAAAGCCUGAUGCAGCCAUGCCGCGUGUAUGAAGAAGGCUUUCGGGUUGUAAAGUACUUUCAGCGGGGAGGCGUUACCCGAAGAAGAAGCAACGGCUAACUACGUGCCAGCAGCCGCGGUAAUAC
rnacentral:rRNA from 1 species